CACGAACGCUGGCGGCGUGCCUAACACAUGCAAGUCGAGCGGAGAAAUUAAAGCUUGCUUUAAUUUCUUAGCGGCGGACGGGUGAGUAACACGUGGGCAACCUGCCCUUGAGAGGGGGAUAACACAGAGAAAUUUGUGCUAAUACCGCAUAACAUUUAGACUUCGCCUGGAGUUUAAAUCAAAGGAGUAAUCCGCUCAAGGAUGGGCCCGCGGCGCAUUAGCUAGUUGGUGAGGUAAUGGCUCACCAAGGCGACGAUGCGUAGCCGACCUGAGAGGGUGAUCGGCCACAUUGGAACUGAGACACGGUCCAGACUCCUACGGGAGGCAGCAGUGGGGAAUAUUGCGCAAUGGGGGAAACCCUGACGCAGCAACGCCGCGUGGGCGAUGAAGGCCUUCGGGUUGUAAAGCUCUGUCUUUGGGGACGAUAAUGACGGUACCCAAGGAGGAAGCCACGGCUAACUACGUGCCAGCCGCCGCGGUAAUAC
rnacentral:rRNA from 1 species